CAGCCGCCGCGGUAAUACCGGCGGCCCGAGUGGCGGUCACUAUUAUUGGGCUUAAAGCGUCCGUAGCCGGGUUGGGAAGUCCUCCGGGAAAUCUGGCCGCUUAACGGUCAGAAUGCCGGAGGAUACUCCCAGCCUAGGGAGCGGGAGAGGCCGAGGGUAUUCCCGGAGUAGGGGGGAAAUCCUAUAAUCCCGGGAGGACCGCCUGUGGCGAAGGCGCUCGGCUGGAACGCGUCCGACGGUGAGGGACGAAGGCCAGGGGAGCAAACCGGAUUAGAUACCCGGGUAGUCCUGGCUGUAAACGAUGCGGACUUUGUGUCGGACAAGCUAUGAGCUUGUCCGGUGCCGGAGGGAAACCGUUAAGUCCGCCGCCUGGGGAGUACGGCCGCAAGGCUGAAACUUAAAGGAAUUGGCGGG
rnacentral:rRNA from 1 species